rnacentral:rRNA from 1 species
GAGUUAUCUGAACCUUCGGGGAACGAUAACGGCGUCGAGCGGCGGACGGGUGAGUAAUGCCUAGGAAAUUGCCCUGAUGUGGGGGAUAACCAUUGGAAACGAUGGCUAAUACCGCAUGAUGCCUACGGGCCAAAGAGGGGGACCUUCGGGCCUCUCGCGUCAGGAUAUGCCUAGGUGGGAUUAGCUAGUUGGUGAGGUAAGGGCUCACCAAGGCGACGAUCCCUAGCUGGUCUGAGAGGAUGAUCAGCCACACUGGAACUGAGACACGGUCCAGACUCCUACGGGAGGCAGCAGUGGGGAAUAUUGCACAAUGGGCGCAAGCCUGAUGCAGCCAUGCCGCGUGUGUGAAGAAGGCCUUCGGGUUGUAAAGCACUUUCAGUCGUGAGGAAGGUAGUGUAGUUAAUAGCUGCAUUAUUUGACGUUAGCGACAGAAGAAGCACCGGCUAACUCCGUGCCAGCAGCCGCGGUAAUACGGAGGGUGCGAGCGUUAAUCGGAAUUACUGGGCGUAAAGCGCAUGCAGGUGGUUUGUUAAGUCAGAUGUGAAAGCCCGGGGCUCAACCUCGGAAUAGCAUUUGAAACUGGCAGACUAGAGUACUGUAGAGGGGGGUAGAAUUUCAGGUGUAGCGGUGAAAUGCGUAGAGAUCUGAAGGAAUACCGGUGGCGAAGGCGGCCCCCUGGACAGAUACUGACACUCAGAUGCGAAAGCGUGGGGAGCAAACAGGAUUAGAUACCCUGGUAGUCCACGCCGUAAACGAUGUCUACUUGGAGGUUGUGGCCUUGAGCCGUGGCUUUCGGAGCUAACGCGUUAAGUAGACCGCCUGGGGAGUACGGUCGCAAGAUUAAAACUCAAAUGAAUUGACGGGGGCCCGCACAAGCGGUGGAGCAUGUGGUUUAAUUCGAUGCAACGCGAAGAACCUUACCUACUCUUGACAUCCAGAGAACUUUCCAGAGAUGGAUUGGUGCCUUCGGGAACUCUGAGACAGGUGCUGCAUGGCUGUCGUCAGCUCGUGUUGUGAAAUGUUGGGUUAAGUCCCGCAACGAGCGCAACCCUUAUCCUUGUUUGCCAGCGAGUAAUGUCGGGAACUCCAGGGAGACUGCCGGUGAUAAACCGGAGGAAGGUGGGGACGACGUCAAGUCAUCAUGGCCCUUACGAGUAGGGCUACACACGUGCUACAAUGGCGCAUACAGAGGGCGGCCAACUUGCGAAAGUGAGCGAAUCCCAAAAAGUGCGUCGUAGUCCGGAUUGGAGUCUGCAACUCGACUCCAUGAAGUCGGAAUCGCUAGUAAUCGUGGAUCAGAAUGCCACGGUGAAUACGUUCCCGGGCCUUGUACACACCGCCCGUCACACCAUGGGAGUGGGCUGCAAAAGAAGUAGGUA